rnacentral:rRNA from 1 species
ACUCCUACGGGAGGCAGCAGUGGGGAAUAUUGCACAAUGGGGGAAACCCUGAUGCAGCCAUGCCGCGUGUGUGAAGAAGGCCUUCGGGUUGUAAAGCACUUUCAGUAGGGAGGAAGGUAGUGUAGUUAACACCUGCACUAUUUGACGUUACCUACAGAAGAAGCACCGGCUAACUCCGUGCCAGCAGCCGCGGUAAUACGGAGGGUGCGAGCGUUAAUCGGAAUUACUGGGCGUAAAGCGCAUGCAGGCGGCCUGUUAAGUCAGAUGUGAAAGCCCGGGGCUUAACCUCGGAAUUGCAUUUGAAACUGGCAGGCUAGAGUCUUGUAGAGGGGGGUAGAAUUUCAGGUGUAGCGGUGAAAUGCGUAGAGAUCUGAAGGAAUACCAGUGGCGAAGGCGGCCCCCUGGACAAAGACUGACGCUCAAAUGCGAAAGCGUGGGGAGCAAACAGGAUUAGAUACCCUGGUAGGAUAGCG